GUGGCGGACGGGUGAGUAACACGUAGGUAACCUGCCCAGAAGCGGGGGACAACAUUUGGAAACAGAUGCUAAUACCGCAUAACAACGUUGUUCGCAUGAACAACGCUUAAAAGAUGGCUUCUCGCUAUCACUUCUGGAUGGACCUGCGGUGCAUUAGCUUGUUGGUGGGGUAACGGCCUACCAAGGCGAUGAUGCAUAGCCGAGUUGAGAGACUGAUCGGCCACAAUGGGACUGAGACACGGCCCAUACUCCUACGGGAGGCAGCAGUAGGGAAUCUUCCACAAUGGGCGCAAGCCUGAUGGAGCAACACCGCGUGAGUGAAGAAGGGUUUCGGCUCGUAAAGCUCUGUUGUUAAAGAAGAACACGUAUGAGAGUAACUGUUCAUACGUUGACGGUAUUUAACCAGAAAGUCACGGCUAACUACGUGCCAGCAGCCGCGGUAAUACGUAGGUGGCAAGCGUUAUCCGGAUUUAUUGGGCGUAAAGAGAGUGCAGGCGGUUUUCUAAGUCUGAUGUGAAAGCCUUCGGCUUAACCGGAGAAGUGCAUCGGAAACUGGAUAACUUGAGUGCAGAAGAGGGUAAUGGAGCUCCAUGUGUAGCGGUGGAAUGCGUACAUAUAUGGAAGAACACCAGUGGCGAAGGCGGCUACCUGGUCUGCAACUGACGCUGAGACUCGAAAGCAUGGGUAGCGAACAGGAUUAGAUACCC
rnacentral:rRNA from 1 species